rnacentral:rRNA from 1 species
AACGAACGCUGGCGGCGCGCCUAAUACAUGCAAGUCGAGCGAGAAGGUGUAGCAAUACACUUGUAAAGCGGCGAACGGGUGAGGAAUGCAUGGGUAACCUACCCUCGAGUGGGGAAUAACUAGCCGAAAGGUUAGCUAAUACCGCAUACGUUUCCGGAACUUCGGUUUCGGAAAGAAAGCAAUACCGUGGGUAUUGCGCUCCUGGAUGGGCUCAUGUCCUAUCAGCUUGUUGGUGAGGUAACGGCUCACCAAGGCUUCGACGGGUAGCUGGUCUGAGAGGACGAUCAGCCACACUGGCACUGCGACACGGGCCAGACUCCUACGGGAGGCAGCAGUAAGGAAUAUUGCGCAAUGGACGAAAGUCUGACGCAGCGACGCCGCGUGGGGGGAUGAAGGUCUUCGGAUUGUAAACCCCCUUUCGGGGAGGGAAGAUGGAGUGGGUAACCACUUGGACGGUACCUCCAGAAGCAGCCACGGCUAACUUCGUGCCAGCAGCCGCGGUAAU